UACGGGAGGCAGCAGUGGGGAAUAUUGCACAAUGGGCGCAAGCCUGAUGCAGCCAUGCCGCGUGUAUGAAGAAGGCCUUCGGGUUGUAAAGUACUUUCAGUCGUGAGGAAGGUGUUAAGGUUAAUAACCUUAGCAAUUGACGUUAGCGACAGAAGAAGCACCGGCUAACUCCGUGCCAGCAGCCGCGGUAAUACGGAGGGUGCGAGCGUUAAUCGGAAUUACUGGGCGUAAAGGGCACGCAGGCGGUUAAUUAAGUUGGAUGUGAAAUCCCCGGGCUUAACCUGGGAAUGGCAUUCAAGACUGGUUAGCUAGAGUCUUGUAGAGGGGGUAGAAUUCCAUGUGUAGCGGUGAAAUGCGUAGAGAUGUGGAGGAAUACCGGGUGGCGAAGGCGGCCCCUGGGACAAAGACUGACGCUCAUGUGCGAAAGCGUGGGGAGCAAACAGGGAUUAGA
rnacentral:rRNA from 1 species